UACGAAGGGGGCUAGCGUUGCUCGGAAUGACUGGGCGUAAAGGGCGCGUAGGCGGUUUGUACAGUCAGGUGUGAAAUUCCCGGGCUCAACCUGGGGGCUGCACUUGAUACGUAUGGACUGGAGUGGGGAAGAGGGUCGUGGAAUUCCCUGUGUAGCGGUGAAAUGCGUAGAGAUGGGGGAGAACACUCGUGGCGAAGGCGGCCAGCUAGACCAGUUCUGACACUGAGGCGCGACAGCGUGGGGAGCAAACAGG
rnacentral:rRNA from 1 species